AUACGGAGGGUGCAAGCGUUACUCGGAAUCACUGGGCGUAUAGCGCGCGCAGGCGGCCAUUUAAGUUGGAUGUGAAAGCCUACGGCUCAACCGUAGAACUGCAUCCAAAACUAUUUGGCUAGAGUGUGGGAGAGGAAGAUGGAAUUAGUUGUGUAGGGGUAAAAUCCGUAGAGAUAACUAGGAAUACCAAAAGCGAAGGCAAUCUUCUGGAACAUUACUGACGCUGAGGCGCGAAAGCGUGGGGAGCAAACAGGAUUAGAAACCCUAGUAGUCC
rnacentral:rRNA from 1 species